rnacentral:rRNA from 1 species
AUUCCAGCUCCAAUAGCGUAUAUUAAAGUUGUUGCAGUUAAAAAGCUCGUAGUUGGAUUUGUGGUGUACUUCGGCGGCCCGUCACCUAGUGAUGGAGCUUGCUGAAGUCGCCAUCCUUGGGUGGAUCCUGUGUGGCAUUAAGUUGUCGUGCAGGGGAUGCCCAUCGUUUACUGUGAAAAAAUUAGAGUGUUCAAAGCAGGCUUAUGCCGUUGAAUAUAUUAGCAUGGAAUAAUAAGAUAGGACCUUGGUACUAUUUUGUUGGUUUGCGCACCAAGGUAAUGAUUAAUAGGGACAGUUGGGGGUAUUCGUAUUUCAUUGUCAGAGGUGAAAUUCUUGGAUUUUUGAAAGACGAACUACUGCGAAAGCAUUUACCAAGGAUGUUUUCAUUA